rnacentral:rRNA from 1 species
UACAUCAUGCCCCUUAUGACCUGGGCUACACACGUGCUACAAUGGUUGGUACAACGAGUUGCGAGUCGGUGACGGCGAGCUAAUCUCUUAAAGCCAAUCUCAGUUCGGAUUGUAGGCUGCAACUCGCCUACAUGAAGUCGGAAUCGCUAGUAAUCGCGGAUCAGCACGCCGCGGUGAAUACGUUCCCGGGCCUU